CAUUCUAUUAACAUCUUCUCAUCAACCUGAUAAGCUAAGUGAGAUCUAGCCUGGUUAUUACUUGAAUAGGAGACUUCCAAAGAAAUUCAGAAUUUCAGAAUGC
ensembl:rRNA 5S_rRNA 5S ribosomal RNA